UAGGUGUGAGUGAUUGCCUGGUGCUU
rnacentral:piRNA from 2 species